AUGGCAUUCUAUUUCUUUUUCUUCUUCUUUGGUGGUUCAUCCUCAGAGCUGCUCUCUGUGCUGGUGCUGGUGCUGCUGCUCCUGGAAGAGCUGGAAUCUGAGUCUGAAUCAGAGGAGGAGGAAGAGGUUGUGGAGGAGGAUGAAGAUGAGGAACUGGAGGAGCUUUCAUCAGUGGGGUGGUGUCGCUGUCCUCUGAGGAGGAGGAUGGAGAGGUUUCUUCACUUUUCUGAUGAAGAACCACUGGCUGAACUGUCGCUGCUACUGCUGCUGGAACUGGUUACACUCUUAGACCUUUGUUGCAGUAAUAAUAAUAAUCUGUUUCCUUUUUCUUUUAAAGCUUUCUUUAGUUCUGCUGUCCUUGAAGGCCUAUGCAGGUAUUUUCUUUUUCCGGUGCAUUCAUAAGUCCAGUGUCUAAAUUCCAAGCAUUUCUGACAUCUUACAUGCUGUUCAUUUGCUUCAGCUUGUCUCUGAGCUAUGAGCCGAUGCAUGGGAGUUGCCAUCUUAGCGUGGCCUGAUCCCCUUUUAUAGUCAGUUCAUAUCUAAGUCAGUCAUUUGCUGUCGGAUAAGUAUAUUUUAAGUAAACACAUGAUAAGCACUCUUCAUAUACUUUCUAGUUAUUUGGCUAAUUAAUAUGAUUCCAUACAACUUCACUCAACUUCACCACUACCCAAGCAGGCCAUGUCUUCUUAUGCAAGAGGAGGCACCAUAUUUUAUUGGGUGGGUAUGAGGCCUUUCAGAUAUUGGAUUACUUCAACAAAAAAAAAAUAACAAACUGAUCACAAGAGCUUUUUUUUUCUUUUUUAAAAUAUUUUAUUUAUUCAUUCAUGAGAGACAAAAAAAAAAAAAAAGGCAGAGGUAGAAGCAGGCUCCCCCUGGAGCAGGGAGCCUGAUGCAGGGCUUGAUCUCAGGACCCUGGAGCCAAAGGCAGAUGCUUACCCAACUGAGCCAUUCAGGCACCCCAAGAGCAUUUUUCUUAAAGGAAAUAUACUUCCAAACUCUACAGUUAUUUUAUUACAAACUUGUAAAACACAGAAAAAAAUAUAAUUUUUAAAUCUUACGGUACUUAGUUUUCCUUACAUUACUAUUACCAUUGUAUCUUAAAUGUCAAUCAUAGAUAUAUUUGUAUACAUAUAUAACUUUUACCUUGAUCCCUCCCUCCACCUGCAUAAUGACCGCCGGCGAUGCAUACAUCAUAUGCACAUGGGUAUAUGUGUGCCUGUGCACACAGGUUGACUUCUGGUGAGUCAGAAACAUUAACUAUAGGAGAAACAUGUAUUUUCAUUUAAUACAUACAGGACAACAUAUUUAUACACUUAUGUGUGUUAACUUCAGGGAAUUUUUAAAUGACAAUCUUCACAAGUAUAUGACAUUUAAUAAUGAGCUAGUUACUAAAUUAAGCUUAUCUAAAACUUCUCAUUUGAAAUCUAAUAGUUAAUUGGUCAUCUUAAGCUCUCUUUGCCAAAGUCGGCAAAUAAAGAAAAAGUAAAUAGAAGAUGGAAGACAAGGGGCGCCCAGGUGGCUCAGUCAGUUAGGCAUCUGCCUUCAUCUCACGUUAUGAUCUAAGGGUCCUGGGAUUGAGUCCCACAUCAGGCUCCCUGCUCAGCAGGGCAUCGGCUUCUCCCUCUGCCCCUGCCCCCUCUCGUGCUCUCACUUUCUCUCAAAUAAACUAAAUCUUAAUUUAAAAAAAAAGAAAAGAAAAAGGAAGACAAAAGUAUGAAUAAACAAAAGUCUGGCAAUUUUCUCAAAAAUAAGUGUAUAAUAUAAAUUUAAUAAUUACAUGAAUUUUGGUGAGAAGGCAAAAAAAAUGAUAACAUAGUUCAUCCAGAAAAGUUUGUGUAAAAAAAUUUAGGAAUAUUUUGAAAGAAAAAAAACUACUAUAAAAAUACAUUAAAAAGCAAAUUUAACUAUAGCAGCUCAUAACUAGCCCUGGAAUAAACAGAAAGAUUUAAUGAAGUAGAGAGCCCAGAAAUAAGUUCAAGGACACAAUGAAAUUUAGUGAAUGACAAAGGUGGCAACUGAAAUCUGUAGAGAAUAGAUGUUUUUACUGAGAAAUGGUAUUUGGACAACUAGCCAGCAAUUUGGGGGAAAAAAAGGAAUAAAAAGGGUUGAAGCAAUUUUUACUUCAAAAUAAAUACCCAGUAAUCAAAGAUUUCAUCGCAAAAAUUAAAACUGUAAGUGAUCUAAAAGAGAGCAUUCAGCUAAUUAAAAACAUAAUAAUUUGUAGUGAUCUGAGUAUAGAAGGCCAUCACACUUUAGACAAAACCCUAAAACCACAAAGAUAAAAAGACUGAUAAGUUUGACCACAUAAAAUGGAAAAACUUUUGUGUAGCCAAAAAAAGUACAAACCAAAUCAAAGAGUAAAAUAGAGGAAAUAUUUGACACAGACAAAAAGCUUAGUAAAUAUAUAAGAAUUUUUAGAAAUCAGUAGUAUGUUCAACCCAAGAGAAAGAAAAUGAUCAUAGGACAGGAGUAAUAUAUAGCACAAAAAAAGGGCAAAAAUGGUAAAACAACACAGAACUAUGCUGAAAGUGAGACACAACAAAAGAAAUGCAUCACAAUAAUAAUGUGAUUUUUCCCCCUACUCAUAUGUUUGACAAUUUCCAAUGCUGUCAAAGGUGUGAGGAAACUUGCAUUCUGUAUCAAUGAUAUAACUGUAAUUUUUUUAUAACUGUAAUUUUUAAGGCGACUUGUGAAAUCUACCAGUAAUACCCAACAAACAUGAAAAUACGUUUAUCUGCAUUAGCAAUCAUGGAAAUACAAAUUAAAACAGCAAGAUUCUGUUUUUUUUUUUUAAGAUUUUAUUUAUUUAUUCAUGAGAGACACAGAGAGAGAGGGGUGGGGGCAGAGACACAGGCAGAGGGAGAAGCAGGCUCCAUCCAGGGAGUCCGACAUGGGACUCGAUCCCAGGACUCCAGGAUCAGGCCCUGGGCUGAAGCGGCGCUAAACCACUGAGCCACCCAGGCUGCCCAAGAUUCUGUUAUAUGCACCAAAGAAUGGCUAAAAUUAGUAAGACAUUUAAUACCAACUAUUAGUAAGAUAUAUAACAGCAGGGAUUUUCUUAUACUGUCAGUUGGGAAAUAAAUUGGUACAACCCAUUUCGAAAAUUGGUAUCAUCUUCUUUAAUAAAUAUAUGCGUAAUUUAUGACCCAGCUCAACUAAUUAUACAUACAACCAAAAAAACUUGCAUAUGUUCACUGUGUUGAGACCAUCAUUUGUAAUAUUCCCUUAAUGGAAACCCAAUUAUUCAUCUGUCACAGUAUGGAUUAUUCAGGUGGUAUUCACAAAGUGAGUAGUAUAGAACAAUGAAAAUGAAUCAAGGACUGAUAUACAGAACUUCAAUGAAGAAUUUGUCAAGUAUCAUGUUAAGUGAAAGAAGCCAGAUAGGAAAGUGAUUCCAUGUAUAUAGAGACCAAACAAAAUUUAAGUUAGAAGUCAGAAUAGUGGAGAGGAAGGAAAAAGAAGGGAAAAAAAGGUUGGAGUAGCGAUUGGCUAUGGUCCAAAGGAUGCUUCUAGAUUGCUAUUUCAUAUUUCCUGACCUGCCCAGUAGUCACUCAUUUGUGAUUAUUCUUUGAGCUUUGUUUUAUGCAAAUGAUCUGAAUGUGUACGAUAUUUAACCAUAAAAAGUUUAUAAAACAAGAAAGAGUAGGUUAAAGAAAAAAGAAUAAAGAGAUACCAGUAUAAUUUUUAAUACUCAAGAAAACUGCAGGUUGUCAUAAUAAUAAUAACAGCUCCAAAGCCAGUAAUUUAAAAAUAGAAAUGCAAACACAGAUUCAACUGGAUGGUAGGUUAAUCAUCCAUUGAUUUUAAC
rnacentral:lncRNA from 1 species